rnacentral:rRNA from 1 species
AUUGAACGCUGGCGGCAGGCCUAACACAUGCAAGUCGAGCGAGCGGCGGACGGGUGAGUAAUGUCUGGGAAACUGCCUGAUGGAGGGGGAUAACUACUGGAAAAGGUAGCGAAUACCGCAUACCAUCAGAUGUGCCCAGAGUGGGUUAGCUAGUAGGUGGGGUAACGGCGCACCUAGGCGACGAUCCCUAGCUGGUCUGUGAGGAUGACCAGCCACACUGGAACUGAUACACGGUCCAGACUCCUACGGGAGGCAGCAGUGGGGAAUAUUGCACAAUGGGCGCAAGCCUGAUGCAGCCAUGCCGCGUGUGUGAAGAAGGCCUUCGGUUUGUAAAGCACUUUCAGCGGGGAGGCGUUACCCGCAGAAGAAGCACCGGCUAACUCCGUGCCAGCAGCCGCGGUAAUUC